GACGCACUCGCUCCCAGCUCUCUGCCAGGGAGAGAACCUAUUUGCAUACAAUUUAUUGCAAAAGUAGGAAUUCCCUCUUUCCUCUUCUGCCCCCGACCGGGAGCAGCUGUUAGUAAAGUGUGACUUUUGCUUUUGCUCCCCCAAAGGAUUUUCUAAUUGUGAGACAGCAGCGCAGGGAGCGAGGGGGAACUCUGGAUCUCUCCCCAGGCAGGCUGGAAACGUGGCAACAGGACCCGGGCUCGCCAGCCCGGGUGCUCACCGGGCAGCAGCUGCUCAGUGGCAUCUUGGAGAGAGCGGAGAGGCUGAGCCGAAUUCCUGGAAAGAGGAGAUAAAGCCUUUCAAAAGCCUGGGGUGUUUGGGGUUUCUGGGGCCAGCAGAGAGAUAAGGGAUUAGUUCCCAGCAGGUGGGAACAGCGCUGGGCACACAGAUCAGUUCCCAGCCUGUUUUGAGGGGGGAGGGAGCCUUGCCCAGCUGCUUAGAGGCAGUAUUGUCUCAGCCCUGGUAUCCUACAGGGGAGUAGCUUUUUGACACCGUUCAUGCCCUGUGCAGUGAUCCGGUCUUCUAAGCUGGGUCUUCUAAGAGAGUUCCCUGAGGUUUCUUCUCAAUUGCUGAAAGGUAUCCAUCAUAAGAAAAAAAAAAAAAAGUAGCUAGUUAAUCUUUGAAACAUAAGCUGUGCCUUCGCUCUCCAGGCUGCUGUGGAUUCGUUCCAAGCUCUGAGUCACUGGCACUGUGAGAGUUCCCUGUGGCCAAGAACUGUGCCUUGCAUCUUGAAGCACUGAGAAGUCAAUUAAUGUUCCUGUGAAAAGACUGAAUGAUGAGUUGAAUGAUGGAAAAGGCAUAAGACUGGCACAAGCAGUUUUGGAGUCCAGCCAUCUUAACCAUUUUCAAGAUUUCUUUUGUGGACAAGGAUGCAUAGCAGUGGCUCAUGCUGACAGUGACUCCCACUAGGCACUUUUUACGUAGUUUGUAUAACGUACGGUGAAUCAUUGCUAAAUCCCAAGAGUCCACCGUUUGUCCCACUGCUCAGUUAUUGGUAUUUAGUGUGUGAAACCAUUCCCCUUCAGUCCAGUGAACAAUGACACCAUGUGAGAUGCCAGAGAGACAAAGAUAAAUCAGCCAUGAUUCAUGAGCUUUAGGAACUUACCAACACCUGGGAGAGCCAGCCACAAGAACAUUUUAUUCUCAUACAUCAUAUAGUCACGUGGCGUAGACACCUGGACAGUGUGGAAGCAGAGAUGAGAGGCACCUACCCAAGCCUGGGAGAAUGGAAAUGCCUUCCUGGAGGAUUAAUGGAUUCAACCAAUUCAUGAUUUCACCCAUUCACUAAAUAUUUAUCGGGCACCUCUUCUGUGCCAGGUGCUCAUAUUAGGGGAUGCAGUACUAAGGCAAAAUGCUCCUCUAUUUAGUGGGAGAGACGAAACACAUGCGUAAUUAUUCAAGUAGCAGUAUUGUGAAGAAUAUAACAAGGCAAAGUUCUAAAGAAUGAUAUGGGGUUAGGAUUUAUUUUUUACAUAUGUAUGUGUGUCUUUUAUUGAAGUAUAGUUGCUUUACAACGUUGUGUUAGUUUCUGAUGUAUGACAAUGUGAAUUAUGUUCUGAAUUGUAUGCAUGCAUGUGCGAAUUAUAUGUAUACAGACAUCCCCUCCCUCUGAGAUCUCCCUCCCACCCCCCCCACGCCACUCAUCUAGGUCAUCACAGAGCAUUGAGCUGAGCUCCCUGUGCUAUCCAGUAGGUUCCCAGCAGUAUUUAUUUUAAAAAGAGUAGUCAGAGAAGGCCUUUUCAGGGGCAUAUCUUUUGCUCAAAGAAGAGAUGGAGAAGAAUCUUGAAAAUACCUUCUAGACAGAGGAAAAACAAGACUGAUGUCUUGAGCCUGGUCCAGUUUGAUGUAUUUGAACAACAGCGAAAGCCAGCGUGGGUGGAGCUGGGUUAGUGAGGGUUACUGUUGAAAGUGACGGAGAUGGAGAUGUAGGCAAGAACCAGGUCACGGGCUCUGUGGGUCAGAGAUAAGUGAAUGGCAGUCAAACGGAGAAGGGCUUUUCCAUCUUUUCCUUCCCAGGAGUCAUCACUGACAAUAUCUCAACAUUAACACACAGAAAGACAGACAUAACAGCAAAUGAAUCAUUCUGAUGACCCAUCUUGAGAUGUUCCUACAGGUUAUGAUUACUGUGUCCCUGCCCAUAAGGUCAAAUUCCCUCCAAAUUUCUCUCUGGAAAAUGCAGUGCUCAGAAACCCCUGCCCCGGGCACUCCCACCCACCUCACCACGCAGCCUGCAUUCAUCAUCUUGCUCUUCUUCUUUGUCAUGUGCCUAAGAUUCCUUGAAGGAGAUGGUCCAACUCCAAGUAAAGCUCUCUCCAUAAAUAUUUAGACUGAAUAGAAGAUGUGCCAGAGACGCAAAGAAUCUGUCUGGAGGGAGAGGAGACCUUUCUCUUUGUUGUCUCUUCAGUCUUGUAAUUUAAUAUAUGGAUACGUGUCUUUGAAUAAUACAUAAGCAUCAAUUUACCACAAAGAGUUCCACAGAAACCUUAGCUUCUCAUCCUUCUGCUGUGCGCUGCGUGGCAUUUUCUUCUCAUCCUGGAAUAUACAUUCCUCUGGUUUACCUUUAUCACCUUCUUCUCUACUCCCAUGUUUCUGAUCACAUACUGUGUGUUGGGCUCUGUUAAACAUAUCAUUGCAGAGUCUAUAUUCAGGACCUCCCCUCUUCUCAGACUCACUUGUCAAUUCAUUUUGUUCAGGCUUCUCCCUCUGCCCCCGCUUCCCUGUCUGUUCCCACUGAGGUCAGUUCAGUCUCCAUGUUACUAAACCCAGCGGGCUUCUUUCUUGUCCAUAUUUUGCUAGAACCCCUCACUUACAUGGAUAGUGUUAACUGGUCCUUGCUGAGGCGCACAUCUCUUUGGGUGUCUGUUUGUGCCACUCUCUGGCUUGGACCCCUCUGACCGGUCCUUCUCUGUCUCUCAAAUUUUUGGCUCCUGGUGGCUUUGUCUUUGGCAGACUUCUUUCUCUCACUCCAUCCAUCUUUGCCACCAGGCUCUCAACCAUGCCUUGGCUUCAGCUCUAGUGGCUUCCAACCCUCUAUGCACCCCUGCCCAGACUUGAUAGCUGGUUACCAUCUGUGGGCUUGGAAAGCUAGCCUAGCCAACCAACACUCGCAGCUGAUGAAUGGGUUUUAAUGUGACCCCUGAUGAACCUGCCUCGUUCUAUUCCAGGGCUGGAACUCUUCCACCUCCAGUUAGUUUCCUGAAUGAACUUGAGUAAGUAUCUUCCCCUCUCUAGGCUUCAGUUGCCUUAAGUGUAGAGUGAGUGAGCUGGACCCCUUCAAAUCUCCUUCAGCUUUACAUGGGCAUGGCAUCUGGCAUAAGGAAACAUAAAUAACUGUUGUGGUUAUAAAGGGCCCAAUAAAUGAUACCCCACCCUUCUCCCCAAAUUCAGGACGAACAGAAUAAGGGAAAUUAAAGCCAUAUUUAAACAAAAGAAGUCAAAUGUCAGCUUCAUCAGAUACAAGGAGACCCAUCUACUGGGUCCUCUUUACCUGUCUCCAAAUCCUCCUAGCAGAUAUUUCUCCAAGCAGGCAGAGAAACCACACUCUCCUAGCGUGAUGAAAAUUAUUCCUCUCGAAUGCUUGAUGAUGACAAAAUUUUGAUUUGAUUUAGCUUUUUCAACCUUGGGAGAUAUUCUAAGGCUGGAGGAAUGUUUAAACUCCUUCUGGCUGCUUGCUUAGCAUAAAGAUCUCUUCUCUAGACCCGGGGGUGGGAGUCACUCUUAUCUUCUCCUUUAAUCAAAUCAGUUCAGGCUGAAAAGAAGGCCAAGUUGACAGUCAGCAUUUCACCAGACUUCUACCUCCCUUGUAGCCAUGUUUUUUUUGUUUGUUUGUUUUUCUGCUUUACUGAAUGAGAUGAGUUACUUGAUUUCAAGGGCUCUCAAUCAGCAAGAACCAGAUGAACUUGUACCAUGCAGAAAUAGAAAGUACUCAAGGCUAAACAGAGGAAGAUAACAGGGUAAAGACCUUUCUGUUGUCUUUUACAGAUAAGGAAAGUGGGUCAGAAAGAGGAUGUGACACCCCCAAGGUCAAUGAACUUAAAAAAUAGCCAAGGUGUACAACAAUCCUGAUCCCGUAAGCUCCUAGGGGAAGAUACUAAUCCCCUCAGUGUUUCUCUAAUGCAGAUUGCCAACUGUUCAAAUCAGUAGCACAAGUGUAAAGUCUAGAGCAACUUCCAAUUCACCAUUGCUUAUAACUUCAAGGAGAAGAAUUAUAAGAAUUCUCCCCUCGUCCCAUCUGUUAUGCUGUUUCAUCUUAGAUCAACACAUUGAAAAUUAUGAAACUCUAUUUUUAACUAGAAGAGUAAUAUAACUAUUCUUAGGAAUUAUACUGGUAUUGUAACAAAUGAUCUUGUAGUUAAUACAGUGAAGUACAAUUAUAAUAUCAUUGCUUUUAUUCUUGUCAGUAAAUCAACAAGCACUCCAUGAACAAGAAUCACUAAAGAUGCAACAGGCUGGGGUUGUGGGGGGCACCCACACCUCACUCCAUGCAGAAAGCUCUCUGCCUGGGUCUCUGGAGACUCUGUAUUUCCU